rnacentral:rRNA from 1 species
UACAGAGGUCCCAAGCGUUGUUCGGAUUCACUGGGCGUAAAGGGUGCGUAGGCGGUCGGGUAAGUCUGAUGUGAAAUCUCACAAGCUUAACUGUGAAACUGCAUUGGAUACUAUUCGGCUUGAGAGUUGGAGGGGGGACUGGAAUUCUUGGUGUAGCAGUGAAUGCGUAGAUAUCAAGAGGAACACCAGUGGCGAAGGCGAGUCCCUGGACAACUUCUGACGCUGAGGCACGAAAGCUAGGGGAGCAAACAGG